rfam:Ailuropoda melanoleuca scaffold1952_2, whole genome shotgun sequence.
GGGGAAUUAGCUCAAUUGGUAGAGCGCUUGCUUAGCACGUGAGAGGUAGUGGGAUCGAUGCCCACAUUCUCCA